rnacentral:misc_RNA from 1 species
GAUGAAGAACGCAGCGAAAUGCGAUACGUAAUGUGAAUUGCAGAAUUCAGUGAAUCAUCGAAUCUUUGAACGCACAUUGCGCCCCCUGGUAUUCCGGGGGGCAUGCCUGUCCGAGCGUCAUUACAACCCUCAAGCUCAGCUUGGUGUUGGGCCCCGCCGCCCCGGCGGGCCCUAAAGUCAGUGGCGGUGCCGUCCGGCUCCGAGCGUAGUAAUUCUUCUCGCUCUGGAGGCCCGGUCGUGUGCUCGCCAGCAACCCCCAAUUUUUUUCAGGUUGACCUCGGAUCAGGUAGGGAUACCCGCUGAACUUAAGCAUAUCAUAAGCGGAGGA